rfam:Triticum aestivum genome assembly, contig: Triticum_aestivum_CS42_TGACv1_scaffold_312617_4AS
CAAGUACUCCCUCCGUCCAGAAUUACUUGUCAUCAAAAUGGAUGUGUCUAGAACUAAAAUACAUCUAGAUACAUCCAUUUCAAUGACAAGUAUUUUCGGAUGGAGGGAGUACAAG